UACGGAGGGUGCAAGCGUUAUCCGGAUUCACUGGGUUUAAAGGGUGCGUAGGUGGGAAUGUAAGUCAGUGGUGAAAUCUCCGUGCUUAACAUGGAAACUGCCAUUGACUACUAUGUUUCUUUGAAUCUCCGGAGGUCAGCGGAAUAUGUCAUGUAGCGGUGAAAUGCUUAGAUAUGACAUGAGAACACCAAAUUGCGAAGGCAGCUGACUACAGGGGCAUUGACACUGAGGCACGAAAGCGUGGGGAUCAAACAGG
rnacentral:rRNA from 1 species